GCAUAACGCGAAGAACCUUACCUACUCUUGACAUCCAGAGAACUUAGCAGAGAUGCUUUGGUGCCUUCGGGAACUCUGAGACAGGUGCUGCAUGGCUGUCGUCAGCUCGUGUUGUGAAAUGUUGGGUUAAGUCCCGCAACGAGCGCAACCCUUAUCCUUUGUUGCCAGUGGUUAGGCCGGGAACUCAAAGGAGACUGCCAGUGAUAAACUGGAGGAAGGUGGGGAUGACGUCAAGUCAUCAUGGCCCUUACGAGUAGGGCUACACACGUGCUACAAUGGCGCAUACAAAGAGAAGCGACCUCGCGAGAGCAAGCGGACCUCAUAAAGUGCGUCGUAGUCCGGAUUGGAGUCUGCAACUCGACUCCAUGAAGUCGGAAUCGCUAGUAAUCGUAGAUCAGAAUGCUACGGUGAAUACGUUCCCGGGUCUUGUACACACCG
rnacentral:rRNA from 1 species